AUGGAAUUUGGAGUCACAAGGACAAGGGAGCAGAAUCAGCUCUGCCGUCUAUGAACUGAUUUUGAAGAAAGAAAUUCACCUCUCUGAGUCUCAGUUGCUUGAUCUGUUAAAUAGAAAUGGAUCCUAUUAACACAUAGUAGGAAAAUAAACAAGUUACAAUGGUGAUUAAGGGUCUCAAACCAGGAAGACAGGAGACAAAUCAGAUCAUAUUACAGAUGUGUAGUAAUCCAUUGAAAGGAUGUCUCAGGAUGGAUUUAAGAAGAGCUUUGCAAAUGGCCAUUCAGGGUAGUUUCUGGUCUUUCACUAUUAGAAGCAAUUCUUCAAUAAAGAGACUUACACAUUUGUC
ensembl:lncRNA